rnacentral:rRNA from 1 species
CCCACAGGCCGUAAACCCAAGGUUUCCAGGGGAAGGUUCGUCCGCCCUGGGUUAGUCGGGACCUAAGCUGAGGCCGAAAGGCGUAGGUGAUGGACAACAGGUUGAUAUUCCUGUACUACCGAUAACCGUUUGAGAGAAGGGAUGACACAGUAGGAUAAGCUAAGCACACUGUUGGUUAUGUGUGCCCAAGCAUUGAGGCAGUCAAAGUAGGUAAAUCCGCUUUGAUAAUGCUGGGAUGUGAUGGGGAGCGAAAUUUAGUAGCGAAGUAGCUGAUUUCACACUGUCAAGAAAAGUCUCUAUCGAGGUUAAAGGUACCCGUACCGCAAACCGACACAGGUGGGUGAGGAGAGUAUCCUAAGGCCAGCGAGAGAACUGUUGUUAAGGAACUCGGCAAAAUGACCCCGUAACUUAGGGAUAAGGGGUGCCACCAUCAGGUGGCCGCAGAGAAUAGGCCCAAGCGACUGUUUACCAAAAACAUAGGUUUCUGCUAAGUCGCAAGACGAUGUAUAGGAGCUGACGCCUGCCCGGUGCUGGAAGGUUAAGGGGAUCUGUUAGAGCAAUCGAAGCAGUGAACUUAAGCCCCAGUAAACGGCGGCCGUAACUAUAACGGUCCUAAGGUAGCGAAAUUCCUUGUCGGGUAAGUUCCGACCCGCACGAAAGGCGUAACGAUUUGGGCACUGUCUCA